CGACACUUUCCCUGCCGUUUGUUCUGAGGCUGGAUCCCAACUGAGAUGUCAGGGCCACUUGCUUCCCCCUGCCCACACACACACGCAUCCUCACACAUCUCACACGCGCACCUUCGCACAUCUCACACACACACUCACACAUCUCACACCCACACCCUCACACAUCUCACAUGUGCACUCACUUCUCACACGUGCACUCAUAUCUCACAUGCACACCCACACACCUCACACGCACACCCUCACACAUCUCACACAUGCAUCCUCACACCUCAUAUGCACACCCACACACCUCACAUGUGCACUCACACCUCACAUGCACACCCUCACACAUCUCAUGUGCACACACCUCACACACGCACUCACAUCUCCCACAUGCACACACACAUCUUGCAGUGCACUCACACACAUCUCACAUGCACACCCUCACACAUCUCACGUGCACACACAUCUCACACACGCACUCACAUCUCACACCUGCACUCACACAUCUCACACCCACACACAUGUGCACACACAUCUCACACAUGCACUCACACAUCUCACACGUGCACACACAUCUCACACAUGCACUCACAA
rnacentral:lncRNA from 1 species